AUCUUGUUGGGGAGUUUAGCUUUCUAGAAACAAUGUCUACUAUUAAAAUGCUAAGAACAAAUUUGAAGGAUUUUGGAUUACUUGGCACCACUGCUGUGCGUUGCAUAAAGCAUAACUCCACCUCCAUCCCUCAUGUACCAAGCAGAAGCAAAGUGUCAUGAUGACUGCCCAGCUGCCUGCUAUGCUCCUCCAAACAAGACUGGGUGUGUUCUGACCCAGCUGUGUUUCUUAGUUAUCAGUUUAAUCAAGUAUUACCACCAGAUCGACAUCCUGGCCGCUCACGGAUGGAACACAGAAGGCGAGAGGCUUUCUUUCAAAAGAGACAAUCUCCGUAAAGACAUCAGAAGCAUAGCAGGAAAGCAGAGGCAAACAUUGAUUAUGUGGCUUGCAAAUGUCAGAGAGCCAUGGGGCCAUUGUCAGUGGCAAGAGGGGUGGCCACAACUUCAGAUAAGAUGGCCUUGGCUUCUGAUGAUGACCUGUUUCCACAGUAUUUGUCACGGUUUCUGAACAGUCUGUUACCAUUUCUACCAUGGGGAUGAGACAGAAGCAGCUGCCUGUGGUCCAUGAAAAGUCUCAGAUGAAGACUAUUACCGAAAGCUACAACAGGUCAAAAUGCAGAGAAAGCCUAACCACGAGGUGCUCAGGCCCAGUUCAUACAUUUAUAACACAA